CUCAGUCGGUAGAGCAUCAGACUU
rnacentral:piRNA from 6 species